CGUUGAAUACGUUCCCGGGUCUUGUACACACCGCCCGUCAUACCACGAAAGUCGGUAGCACCCGAAAUGGUCACUUGUUGACCCCUAAGGUGAGAUCGAUGAUUGGGGUA
rnacentral:rRNA from 1 species